GACGAACUGUGCAAACGUUAUUCGGAAUCACUGGGCUUGAAGAGUGCGUAGGCGGUUUCGUAAGUAGGGUGUGAAAGCCCCCCAGCUCAACUGGGGAAUGGCGUCCUAAACUGCGAGGCUGGAGUGAGGUAGGGGUGUGUGGAACUUCCGGUGGAGCGGUGAAAUGUGUUGAUAUCGGAAGGAACGCCGGUGGCGAAAGCGACACACUGGGCCUUGUCUGACGCUGAGGCACGAAAGCCAGGGGAGCAAACGGG
rnacentral:rRNA from 1 species